GGGAGGUGUGAUCCUGUGCUUCCUGGAAGGUGUGAUAUCGUGGUUCCUGGGAGGUGUGAUAUCGUGGUUCCU
rnacentral:pre_miRNA from 2 species